rnacentral:rRNA from 1 species
GACGAACGCUGGCGGCGUGCCUAACACAUGCAAGUCAACUUGACUGAAGGAGCAAUCUGACAGUAGAGUGGCGCAAGGGUGCGUAACGCGUAAGUAACUUGCCCCAAGGUAAGGAAUAACGUCGAGAAAUCGGCGCUAAUACCUCAUAAUGCAGCGGAUCCGCAUGGAUAUGUUGUUAAAGGUUUACCGCCUUGGGAUAGGCUUGCGUCUGAUUAGCUAGUUGGUGUGGUAACGGCACACCAAGGCUACGAUCAGUAACUGGUCUGAGAGGAUGAUCAGUCACACUGGAACUGAGACACGGUCCAGACUCCUACGGGAGGCAGCAGUGAGGAAUAUUGGGCAAUGCUCGAAAGAGUGACCCAGCAACGCCGCGUGGAGGAUGAAGGUAUUCUAUAUCGUAAACUCCUGUGAGAGCAGACGAAAGACAGAUUAUUAAUCUGGAUGACUGUAUGCUCAGAGGAACG